CGUAGGGUGCAAGCGUUGUCCGGAAUUAUUGGGCGUAAAGAGCUCGUAGGCGGUUUGUCACGUCGGAUGUGAAAACUCGGGGCUCAACCCCGAGCCUGCAUACGAUACGGGCAGACUUGAGUGUGGCAGGGGAGUCUGGAAUUCCUGGUGUAGCGGUGAAAUGCGCAGAUAUCAGGAGGAACACCGGUGGCGAAGGCGGGACUCUGGGCCAAUACUGACGCUGAGGAGCGAAAGCGUGGGGAGCGAACAGGAUUAGAUACCCUGGUAGUCCACGCCGUAAACGGUGGGUGCUAGGUGUGGGGAACUUUCCACGUUCUCCGUGCCGCAGCUAACGCAUUAAGCACCCCGCCUGGGGAGUACGGCCGCAAGGCUA
rnacentral:rRNA from 1 species